AAGGCUGUAGCUCAGUGGUAGAGCAUUUGCCUUGCAUGCAGAAGGUUAAAGGUUCAAUCCCCAGCAUUA
rnacentral:tRNA from 1 species